UACGUAGGGUGCGAGCGUUAAUCGGAAUUACUGGGCGUAAAGCGUGCGCAGGCGGUUUUUCAAGACAGAUGUGAAAUCCCCGGGCUUAACCUGGGAAUGGCAUUUGUGACUGGAAGGCUAGAGUGUGUCAGAGGGGGGUAGAAUUCCACGUGUAGCAGUGAAAUGCGUAGAUAUGUGGAGGAAUACCGAUGGCGAAGGCAGCCCCCUGGGAUAACACUGACGCUCAUGCACGAAAGCGUGGGGAGCAAACAGG
rnacentral:rRNA from 1 species